rnacentral:rRNA from 1 species
GACGAACGCUGGCGGCGUGCCUAAUACAUGCAAGUAGAACGCUGAAGCGAGGAGCUUGCUCUUCUUGGAUGAGUUGCGAACGGGUGAGUAACGCGUAGGUCACCUGCCUGGUAGCGGGGGAUAACUAUUGGACACGAUAGCUAAUACCGCAUAAAAUUGAUUAUUGCAUGAUAAUUAAUUGAAAGAUGCCACUGCAUCACUACCAGAUGGACCUUCGUUGUAUUAGCUAGUUGGUGAGGUAACGGCUCACCAAGGCGACGAUACAUAGCCGACCUGAGAGGGUGAUCGGCCAGACUGGGAGUGAGACACGCCCCAGAGUCAUUCAGGAGGCAGCAGUAGUGAAUCUUCGGCAAUGGGGGGAACCCUGACCGAGCAACGCGGAGGGAGUGAAGAAGGUUUUCGGAUCGUAAAGCUCUGUUGUAAGAUAAGAACGGGUGUGAGAGUGGAAAGAUGCCACUGUGACGGUAACGUACCAGAAAGGAACGGCUAACUACGUG